rnacentral:rRNA from 1 species
AGUCACUGACAUUAGAUACCCGGGUAGUCCAGGGUGUAAACGCUGCAGACUUGGUGUUGGGAAGUCCUUUGGGGGGCAUUCAGUGCCGGAGAGAAGUUGUUAAGUCUGCUACUUGGGGAGUACGUCCGCAAGGAUGAAACUUAAAGGAAUUGGCGGGGGAGCACCGCAACGGGAGGAGCGUGCGGUUUAAUUGGAUUCAACACCGUAAACUCACCAGGGAAGACUGUUACAUGAAAGCCGAGAUGAAGACUCUGCUAGAUUUUCAG